AGAGACGUAAGGUCUCGGCGGACCGCUGAGUAACACGCGGAUAACAUGCCCUAAGGUGGAGGAUAACCUCGGGAAACUGAGAAUAAUACUCCAUAGAUCUAGGUUGCUGGAACGCUUCUAGAUCCAAAACUCCGGUGCCUUAGGAUUGGUCUGCGGCGUAUCAGGUUGUAGUGGGUGUAACGUACCUACUAGCCUAUGACGCGUAUGGGCCUUGAGAGAGGAAGCCCACAGAUGGACUCUGAGACAUGAGUCCAGGCCCUACGGGGCGCAGCAGUCGCGAAAACUUCACAAUGGGAGAAAUCCCGAUGAGGGAAUUCCAAGUGCUAGCACUAUGUGUUAGCUGUUCUUUUGUCUAAAAAACAGAAGAAGUAAGGGCCGGGUAAGACGGGUGCCAGCCGCCGCGGUAAUACCCGCGGCCCGAGUGGUGGUCGAUAUUAUUGAUCCUAAAACGUCCGUAGCCGGUCUUGUAAAUCCUUGGGUAAAUCGGCCAGCUUAACUGUCCGAAGUCCGGGGAGACUGCAAGACUUGGGAUCGGGAGAGGUCAGAGGUACUUCUGGGGUAGGGGUAAAAUCCUGUAAUCCUGGAAGGACCACCGGUGGCGAAGGCGUCUGACUAGAACGAAUUCGACGGUGAGGGACGAAGCCCUGGGGCGCAAACGGGAUUAGAUACCCCGGUAGUCCAGGGUGUAAACGCUGCGGGCUUGGUGUUGGGGGUCCUUUGUGGGCGCCCAGUGCCGGAGAGAAGUUGUUAAGCCUGCUGCUUGGGGAGUACGUCCGCAAGGAUGAAACUUAAAGGAAUUGGCGGGGGAGCACCGCAACGGGAGGAGCGUGCG
rnacentral:rRNA from 1 species